GGACGAACGCUGGCGGCGUGCCUAAUACAUGCAAGUCGAACGGUCUUUCUAUGGAAGCUUGCUUCCACUGAGAAGAUAGUGGCGAACGGGUGAGUAACACGUGGGUAACCUGCCCAUAAGAGGGGGAUAACAUCCGGAAACGGGUGCUAAUACCGCAUAGUUUUCUUGAUCGCAUGAUUGAGAAAGGAAAGACGGCCUUUGUGCUGUCGCUUAUGGAUGGACCCGCGGCGUAUUAGUUAGUUGGUGAGGUAACGGCUCACCAAGACGAUGAUACGUAGCCGACCUGAGAGGGUGAUCGGCCACAUUGGGACUGAGACACGGCCCAAACUCCUACGGGAGGCAGCAGUAGGGAAUCUUCCGCAAUGGACGAAAGUCUGACGGAGCAACGCCGCGUGAGUGAAAGAAGGUUUUCGGAUCGUAAAACUCUGUUGUCAGAGAAGAACAAGUUGGAGAGUAACUGCUCCAGCCUUGACGGUAUCUGACCAGAAAGCCACGGCUAACUACGUGCCAGCCGCGGC
rnacentral:rRNA from 1 species